rfam:Streptococcus infantis SK1302 contig109, whole genome shotgun sequence.
GCCGAUUUAGCUCAGUUGGUAGAGCACCGCACUCGUAACGCGAAGGUCACAGGUUCGAACCCUGCAAUCGGCA